UGGAGGCAUUACUGGCUCCAAGUCCUGCUGCUACUUCAGGCAUCAACACCGUGCAAAGAGGAAGGGAAGCCCCGGGAGAACAUCAGGGUCGGUUCGUAAUCCACACACACAAGUUGAAUAAUUCACUGAGGAGAUGUAGUGUGGUCUGUCCUAAAUUUGUUGCAGAAAGACCAUAUGUCAGCGUGUGUGAGAACCAGGAGGCUGCAGCCAUCGCUUCCAGUCCUAAUGAGAGCUGGGACUAAUUGAGGUGACAGCUUGUGCAUCGUCUCCGCGCUCACAGCUGCAGCCAACACAAACCAGGAUGUACCAGGAUGAGACCGACAACCCAGUUCUUUAAAGAGACCGACGCUCACACUGGAGGAAUCCCCCAGUCUCUCAUGACUCUGCGCGUCAAACAGCCCAACUGCAGAGCUUGUUGACAGGAACCCGUCCCCACCUACUCUACCUUUCUGUGUCGCUCUCGUCGCUGGACACCACUUCCUCCAGAGCGGCCUGCAGGUCCACGAUGCGGCGAAUGGACGUCUCCAGGUCGGCCUGCAGCGUGUGUCUGACGGCGCUCAGCUCCUCCACCUGCAUUUCCUGCCAGAUUAGAGGACAUUUGUUGACGCGAGGGCGAAUAACAAGCUGACCUUCACCAGGGCGGCCGCGCGUUGUCAUCCCCCGACUACCUGUUAGGACCCCGGGGCCCAAUCCGCCACAGCAAUUACCCUCAGUGUAGCUCAUAUUACCUCAUCAGUCAAACAGUGGCGUGUCCUCUCUCGCAGCCGUGGUGCUGAUGCUCUGACCAGGUUAUUUAGAAGAAAAAAACUGCCGAGCACUGACAUUGGGAGAGAACGGAGUGGUUUAUUAAUUCCUCCGUCUAUCCAGCAUCCUGUCUCUUUCUCACAAACACACACACAAGCUUUCAAAGUUAUUGGCUUAGAGGAGACGAGGGGUGUGGGUGCAGCAGUUGUCAUAGAGACACAUAAGCAUGUAUGAAUAUGUGUGUGUGCGUGUGUGUGUUUCCAUAACCUUGAAGAGACAAUGAGGAUUAAUCACAGGCACAGAGACAGAGCAGGGUGAGGGGGAGAUGACGUUAAGACGGCGGGUGCGUGUGUGUGCGUGUGUGUGUGGAUGAAGACGUCUCACACCAAGCCUGUGUGUGUUGGGACGUUGGUAAAGCAUGAGCGGCGUUCGGCUAAUAACUGAAUAAUUACUGCUCGACUCGGUGAGCAAGACGAUGAUGGAGUCUAUGAAUCGACUGACAUCUUCAGAGCAAACGAUAUGUUUGGUAAACAAGUGAUGAUUUAAUUCCAUAAAUAUUCUUGAAACUCUG